rnacentral:lncRNA from 1 species
GAUUGCUGUAAUUUCAAGACUAGCCCAUGUUCCAUAGUAAAUUCACAGCCAACCAAGACUAUAGAGUGAGACUCUCUCUUGCCCUUCGAAUCCUGUAGAAGAUUUAAAUUUGUUCCACAAUAACUGUUCCUGGCCAGUGCAUUUCAGGCAUUUUUUAAUGUUUUCUCUCAAUCUGCAAAGUGGUAGAGAAAAAGAUACAUGAGCCAUGGGUCUGGAAACUUGAUCCUCCACCCUUCUGCAUUUCAUUAGCUGUGACUUUUGAAGGGAUAACUUAAGUAUUUGAUUUCCAUUAUUUAUGCAUGCAGUUUAAUUCAUGCUAAAUCCCAGAAGGAAUAAAUAUAAAUAUGCAAAUGUAGUUAUUCUAGGGCAGCUUGCCUAGUGUGAAUGGGGCCCUGAGUUCAAUUGGUGCCAUCACCAUUACCACCAAAACAAAACAACCCAACCCAGCCCCCAAAGCAUGGCAUCAUCCAGACCAUCUCUAAGUGUGCCAUUAGUGACAUUAUGUACAUCCUUAUUGUGUGGCCAUAACCACUGUCUAUUUAUAGAACCCUUUCACUUUCCUAAAUGGAAAUUCAGUACCUGUUUAAAAAGUAACCAUCAGCUAUUGCUAGUCUGUUUCUUCUCCAUGAGUUCUACAGUGGUUUUUGAAUGAGAGUGGUAAGAUAGCAUAGCUCCCAUAGAAUAAAGAAACAUUAUUUCCUUCUGUCUUUGUUUUUAAUAACUAUAUUAGGACAUAAUCAAAGAAAUAGAAUUACCUGAGUAUGUAUAUGCCAGGUCUAAAAUUUGGUUCUCUAGUUUAUUUAGCGUACAUUUAGUUUUAUAUUAGUUGACUUUUUCCUUGACUGCCAGUUAUUGCUCGAAUACUGGAAUAACAUUAUUACACAGUUACAGGAGGCAGCAAGGGAAAGCUCUUCAGAACUAUGCCUAGGCAAUUAAAUAAAUGUAAUCUAGUUGAAGUUUCAGCCAUUUAUGUGAAUUUCAUUUGAUUUCUACCUAUGGCUUUCAGGAAUUUGAUAUACAGGUAUUUGACGUAAUUUCGGGCUGAGAAUAUUUCUGCAAUAUGAGAAUGAGAAAUUAUGUGAUUGAACUGUGGUUUAAUGAAGUGCAAAGAGUAUGAAAUGAAAUAUAAAUAAUAUGUAACUCAGAGAAUAUUUAUGUAAGUGGCAUUUGCCUACAGUAUGUUUUCGUAUUUAUGUUGUCUGUGGAUUUUUAUAAUCCAGAAAGGUGUUUUUACAAAUGUUGAUAUCAUUUAGAACACUCUGUAUAAUGUAAUUAGGUGACAGAAAUUUUUGUUUUUUAUUUUCUCAAAUAAAUUGGCAUUAUCAAGCCAGCACUUUGCUCAAUAUGUUUACUAAAGGGAAAGUAUUCAUGGUCUGAAUAACCAUCAGCAUAACUCUAUUAAGAACUUCACUGACAUCCGUAGUACAAAGCAGAAAAGGCUCUCCAUGUAAAGCAGUCACCACAGUGACAUUGGUGCUACUGUCGGUAAGACUGGGCUUCAGGGUGCUGAGGACCUCAGAGAUACCAGAUGAGGCCCAGAGGAAGGAGAUGGGGUGUACUCCCUGUCACCCUUUUCAUGCCCAGCAUUCAAUGUCAUGUAAAAUAUGAAGGAAUGAAAUGAAAGGUGAAAAAUUAAUACAUGUGUAGCUUACUUGAGACACAAUUUGCCAACCUUAGAAAAAGAUCAAAGAUUUGUUGGAGUCUUGAAACCUAGACAAUUUUAAGAGUAACUUAUUAAAUUGCAUGGGCAAAUUUAAGCAUUAGUUUGUAUUUAUAAUGAAAAAUGAAAUCACAGCUGCUUAGAAUGUGUGAUUGCAUGAUCGUCACGGUAGUUAGCGGAUUGUACAUUACAGCUGGCUAUGAGAGUUUCAAGUUACUUUCUCCAUCUAUAGGAUGUCUAGUGCUUGAUUACUCCUAUGUCCAGCAGUGCCGUUGUGAUAACAUUUUCUCCACAGAGAUUUGAAUGGUAGACUUUCUGGUGGAUGACGGUACAAUUUUGUUUGAAUUAUUGAUGAGCAAAGUAUGCGAAAGACACAGUGUCACACAGGCAUUCUCAGUUCUGGUGAAAAUGUUUCAGGUUUAUAGUCUACAAACACUGGCUUCUGAGAUGUUCUACAUC